rnacentral:rRNA from 1 species
CCUACGGGAGGCAGCAGUGGGGAAUUUUGGACAAUGGGCGAAAGCCUGAUCCAGCAAUGCCGCGUGAGUGAAGAAGGCCUUCGGGUUGUAAAGCUCUUUUGUCAGGGAAGAAACGGUGAGAGCUAAUAUCUUUUGCUAAUGACGGUACCUGAAGAAUAAGCACCGGCUAACUACGUGCCAGCAGCCGCGGUAAUACGUAGGGUGCAAGCGUUAAUCGGAAUUACUGGGCGUAAAGCGUGCGCAGGCGGUUUUGUAAGUCUGAUGUGAAAUCCCCGGGCUCAACCUGGGAAUUGCAUUGGAGACUGCAAGGCUAGAAUCUGGCAGAGGGGGGUAGAAUUCCACGUGUAGCAGUGAAAUGCGUAGAUAUGUGGAGGAACACCGAUGGCGAAGGCAGCCCCCUGGGUCAAGAUUGACGCUCAUGCACGAAAGCGUGGGGAGCAAACAGGAUUAGAUACCCUGGUAGUCCACGCCCUAAACGAUGUCUACUAGUUGUCGGGUCUUAAUUGACUUGGUAACGCAGCUAACGCGUGAAGUAGACCGCCUGGGGAGUACGGUCGCAAGAUUAAAACUCAAAAUGAAAUUGACGG